AGAUUUAGGUCAGGUUUGUGUGGACUUGUGGCUUGGUUCGACGGGAUGAAGGCGAUGGGAUCGAGGAAAAUUUACGAUAGGAGAAAGCUCGGAUCGCAGCUAAAAGCAUAGACGGAAGUGGAGGGGAUGUGUUCGACCUUAGGUUUGGGAAGAAGAAGCAUAGAAAAUGGUUGGAUUGGCGUGGGAUGUGAUCGGACAAGGCUGUGGGGUCGGGUCGAUUAGGUCGAAGAGGCAUGAGUUCGGCUCCGUGCACAUGCGGAAGAUCAGAAAGAGAAGUUGCGGCUGUUUGGGGUUUACGUGCGUGAGAAAAGAAGUGAAAAAGUAGUGAAAUGGGAAAGAAGGCGAGAGCAAUUCGAUUGGAGUCGUGAGGAAGAAUGGGAUCGGGGCUUGAGGUCAUGUGGGUUCGACCUGGUGGAGGGAGAUCAGACAGGUCUCACGUGAGGCUUGCGGGAUUUGGGAAGAAGAAACGAAGAGGAGGAAGUGGCUAGAACUCGACUGUGGAAGAACCGAAGAAGGUGUGAGUUCGCUCUCGUUUUAACGCCGCGAACAAGUAAUCGCACACGGGGCAUGAAGCGACACCAUUUGCAGGAGAUGGGCGACUGUAGCGAGCGGCUGAUGCGGGCAGGGUUUUAGACAGACGCCAAAUGCCGUCUGGAGACCAAUCAUAAUAUGUCACGUCACCCCUUCGCUAUGUACUGCGGCUCGGUACAGCUGAUGUGGCUGUACCUGAUUCGCCUCCAAACGUAGAGCUGCAUCCGACAGAAUAAUUUCUCCUUACUCAUGGCCAGACAUGCUUUUGGAUUGAAAAUAUAUUUUGCCAGAAUACUCCCGCACACUGCGUUGUCUAUCCUCCUUAAACAUAUCUAUCUCGUUCUUGUAUUGCAGUCUUGCUAAUCUCCAUCAAAUCCUAGCCUUUCAAGAAAAUUGAGUUUCAGAACGUUAAAAUCAUCAUCUCCUCCAGCUUUGGGGAUAUGUGGUUCUUUCUUCUUAUUACCUAUUUCAUUGUGUCUUAUCCACACUUCUCUGUAGUCAAUAAUCGAUUAGCAAUUUGUUCACCUUCAUGAUAAA